CUUUGCUGGAAACACGACGCCUGACUGGAAAAUGAAGUGGAGCCCACAGAGAACAGAACAAAGAGGAAGAUCUUCAACCUAUCUGUAAGCAGGAGGAGCAGCAGGAGUCCUGACCCAAUGAAAAGACCAAACCCUGGAGGUCAUGAUUCUGUUGGAAGCAGAUCUACAAGGCGCCCAAUGGAUCAUCUGGAAGGAGCGGUUUUCCAUUGAAUGCAAGCAAACCAGAGACUAGAGGUUUCCAGUCAGCUGGAGAAAGAAUGACUUCCAGCUGCUGCUAAUGAACAAAUGUUAUGACCAAUAAAAGUCUGAUUUGUUUUGUCUUUGAGAAUAAAAACUUUGUUGUUGAGGAUCUGCUGUU